AAAGAAGCGAUCUGAUUGGUUGCUAUGGGCAACUCAGCAACUUUUCCUCUGGACAAGUUUGGAUAAAUCUCCCCCAAUUUAGGAAUGCACGUGAAGAGAGGACGGCUUGAUUCAUACAGCUGGCGGGCCAAUUCUACUAUCUGAACCCCCCUGGGGCUUUGUGUACAUCAGACUGACAUCCUUCUGAAAAAGCAAAGCUUAGCCAUGAUGUCUGAAAGCCCCCGUGGAAGUUCUCAGCAGCCAACAGUAAAUUUGGAGUCUGUCUUUCUCGCUCCAUCUUUAACAAGUGGGGCAAAGGGAGAAGUUGGAUUAAAGAAUAAUAUUGAAAGCCAAACUGGGCACUUCCUGUCUUUUAGAUCUUCUAACAUGUAAAUUGAGCAGCACAAAGGGGAUUAACGGUCAGAAUUGUGUGAGUGAACUGCAGG